rnacentral:rRNA from 1 species
CUACGGGGCGCUGCAGUUAGGGAUAUUCGGCAAUGGGGGAAACCCUGACCGAGCAAUGCCGCGUGAAUGAAGAAGGCCUUCGGGUUGUAAAGUACUUUCAGCGGGGCGGAAGGGAGUAAAGUUAAUACCUUUGCUCAUUGACGUUACCCGCAGAAGAAGCACCGGCUAACUCCGUGCCAGCAGCCGCGGUAAUACGGAGGGUGCAAGCGUUAAUCGGAAUUACUGGGCGUAAAGCGCACGCAGGCGGUUUGUUAAGUCAGAUGUGAAAUCCCCGGGCUCAACCUGGGAACUGCAUCUGAUACUGGCAAGCGUGGGUCUCGUAGAGGGGGGUAGAAUUCCAGGUGUAGCGGUGAAAUGCGUAGAGAUCUGGAGGAAUACCGGUGGCGAAGGCGGCCCCCUGGACGAAGACUGACGCUCAGGUGCGAAAGCGUGGGGAGCAAACAGGAUUAGAUACCCCCGUAGUC